ACUGCUCCAACUCGGAGAUGGACAUUGUGUUUAUUGGCAGCGAUUCCAAGUCCAAGGUCUUUUCAUCCCAAAUGACCAGUGUUUCAGUAGAGGACAGAGACAGAAGGGUUCAUGGAGUGGCUGCUCUCUGGUGAGUCAGAGACAGGCUUCCAGAACGUGUUCCUGGGUAGAGGCCCCAAACGUCCAACUCAAAGCUUCGCUCUGAAGCCGGGGCGGCUGCUGCCAGGGUUCCUGCCACACAGGGAGCCCCCAGGGUUGCUGUGCGGCCCGCAGCCUCCCCCCACUGGCCAGUGAACGCUCCUGCAGAAAGCUUUCCUUCCCUUUCCGCUCCCUGCUGGGCCCUCCUACGGGUGCCCUCUGCGGAGGCCUGUCGUCGUGCCGGAUUCCCAAGGGUCCUCUAACAUUUUCAGGAGGCUGCCCGUCUCUGGGGACAGAUACCCUUCCCACCCCACUGAUUGGGCAUGUGCUUGGGGGGUGUUUCAGACAAUGACGUAGGAGUGGGGGGGCCCUUCAGGAGCCAGCUUGGAGCCGCCCUGUGCUCUCCCCUCUGCUCUAGGGCCACAGUAUUCCAGAGAGAGGCUUCUCCAUCAGCCUGGAGGCUGGAGAGAUGCCAUCAGAGCUGACGUGGAUGGACAUACAGGAAGGUCGUGUUCGUGGACGCAGCAGCACGUCGCCUUUUCAGACUGGCCUCUUCUGCUUCAGCAAUGUGCGCUCCCGGCCCUUACGCGUCCGCGUUGGCUCCGGAGCCCCUUCUGUGCACCGCUGAGUGGGGUCCCAUGUCAGGACACCCCGCGGUUUGUUUACCCACUGCCUCCCGGGGGCGCAUUUUGGAUGCCUCCGGGUUGUGGCAAUCACUAAUAAAGCGAAUACAAACAUUC